rnacentral:rRNA from 1 species
CGCCCAGACUCCUACGGGAGGCAGCAGUGAGGAAUAUUGGUCAAUGGGCUUACGCCUGAACCAGCCAAGUCGCGUGAGGGAAGACUGCCCUAUGGGUUGUAAACCUCUUUUGUCAGGGAGCAAUUGGCGCUACGUGUAGCGUUAUCGAGAGUACCUGAAGAAAAAGCAUCGGCUAACUCCGUGCCAGCAGCCGCGGUAAUACGGAGGAUGCGAGCGUUAUCCGGAUUUAUUGGGUUUAAAGGGUGCGUAGGCGGAGGGCAGGGUCAGUGGUAAAAUCGCGGGGCGCAGCCGCGCUCCGCCGUUGAAACUGGCGUUCUUGAGUGGGCGAGAAGUAUGCGGAAUGCGUGGUGUAGCGGUGAAAUGCAUAGAUAUCACGCAGAACUCCGAUUGCGAAGGCAGCAUACCGGCGCCCAACUGACGCUGAAGCACGAAAGCGUGGGUAUCGAACAGGAUUAGAUACCCUGGUA